AUACGCUCGUCUCAAAGAUUAAGCCAUGCAUGUGUAAGUAUAAAUAAUUUUACUUUGAAACUGCGAAUGGCUCAUUAUAUCAGUUAUAGUUUAUUAGAAAUAUUUUACUACUUGGAUAACCGUAGUAAUUCUAGGGCUAAUACAUGAGUAAAACCUCAACUUCGGAAGAGGUGUGUUUAUUAGUAUGAAAACCAUAUAUCUUCGGAUAUAAUAGUGAGUAAUAAUAACCUUUCAUAUCGUAUGUCGUAAGAUAACGAUAGUUCUUUCAAGUUUCUGCCCUAUCAGCUUUCGAUGGUAGUAUAUGGGACUACCAUGGCAGUAACGGGUAACGAAGAAUUUGGGUUCGAUUUCGGAGAGGGAGCCUGAGAGAUGGCUACCACAUCCAAGGAAGGCAGCAGGCGCGUAAAUUACCCAAUCCUGACAUAGGGAGGUAGUGACAAUAAAUCACAAUGCGGAACU
rnacentral:rRNA from 1 species